rnacentral:lncRNA from 1 species
UGUCCUUCCUAGGCUGUAACGUUGUGUUGUUGUUGUUUGUUGUUCUUCCUAGGCUGUAACGUUGUUGUUGUUGUUGUUGUUGUUGUUGUCCUUCCUAGGCUGUAACUAUGUUUGUUGUUGUUGUCCUCCUAGGCUGUAACUAUGUUGUUGUUGUUGUCCUACCUAGGCUGUAACUAUGUUUUGUUGUGUUGUCCUUCCUAGGCGUAACUAUGUUUGUUGUUGUUGUCCUUCCUAGGCUGUAACUAUGUUGUUGUUGUUGUUGUCCUACCUAGGCUGUACUAUGUUGGUUGUUGUUGUCCUUCCUAGACUGUAACUAUGUUGUUGUUGUUGUUGUCCUUCCUAGGCUGUAACUAUGUUGUUGUUGUUGUUGUCCUUCCUAGGCUGUAACUAUGU